rnacentral:rRNA from 1 species
UACGUAGGGUGCGAGCGUUGUCCGGAAUUAUUGGGCGUAAAGAGCUCGUAGGUGGUCUGUCGCGUCUGCUGUGAAAACUCGGGGCUUAACCCUGAGCUUGCGGUCGAUACGGGCAUGACUGGAGUUCGGCAGGGGAGACUGGAAUUCCUGGUGUAGCGGUGAAAUGCGCAGAUAUCAGGAGGAACACCGGUGGCGAAGGCGGGUCUCUGGGCCGAUACUGACGCUGAGGAGCGAAAGCGUGGGGAGCGAACAGG